AAAAAAUACACUGAAUUAUUAGUAUUAUUAUCAAAUUAUUAACAUCCCCUCUUGACCUGGCCGAUUUGAAUUGGUCCUUGUGUGCAAUUUGGUGCAUAAUAUAGGGGAACAACAUCACACUGCUACAUCUAUACAAAUCUAUCGACCACAUCCAUUUAAAGCAAUGAUUGUCAAUUGAACAUGUGGUUGUUGUGUUAUCCUGUUGUGCGCCUUGAAUGUCAGUCCUCAUAAUGAAUCUAAAUGGUAUUUUCUACAUACUUUAGUGUCAGCAGUCCAUCAGGCCAAUAGAUGGCGCUGUUGCACUGUUGUAGCAGGAGAAACAUUAAGUUCAGGCCAAGCGCUCACCAUUCUGCAGAAUAAGGACCAGAACUUUACAGAGGUAAACUGUGUCAGUUCUUUUACUAUUACAGCAGUUCAUCGUGGCCCUAUUGUUCGCCUCCUUCACCAAAGCUCUGUCAGGGACCUACAUGAAGAGUGCCAUCACUCAGAGAGACACUUUUUCCCUGUCCAGCUCUCUCAUCGGACUCAUAGACGGCAGCUUUGAGAUGGGUAACCUGCUGUUCCUGGCUGUGGUCAGCCAUUUUGGGGCGAAGCUGCACCGGCCCAGGCUCAUUGCUGUGGGCUGUUUCCUCAUGGCUGUUGGAUCCUUCCUCACACGCCUGCCAGACUUCUUCAUGGGACGGUAAAACAACUGAAAUACUGGUUAAACUUGUACUUUUAGAGAUACUCCAAUGCAGAGGAUAGUUUCACUUGAGAAAUAAAGAAAUGUAUCCAGUUGUUGAUUAAUCUCAGUUAACUUCGAACUAAAGUCUUGCGUAAUUGGUCAGCUGCUUGAUUAUGCUUUGGGGCCAUACAUGUUAAGAGAAGGGAUUAAGAGAUGCUAUAACUGUGACGUGGUAAAGUUGGACCCAGGUUCAGAGAAGAGACCAGAAGAUGAAGCAGUGGUUCCAACCAGUGUCUCCACUGCUCAAGGGCCCACUUAACUGCCAAAACCUCCCAGUUUCCUACAUCGUAGUUGCCUUCCGCUGGCGAGACCCGCUUGGAGAGAAAGGUGCAUGGGUGCAGUUUCUUGUCCUCCUUGUUCCACUGUGAAAGGACCACACCAGCUCCGGUGUCCGAGGCGUCCACCUCUACCACAAAGGGACGAGUAGGAUCAGGAUGAACGAGGAUGGGUCCGGAGGUGAAACGUCCCUUGAGCUCUAUGAAUGCCCUGUCAGUCUCGGGAUUCCUGCAAAAACCUGCUUGCGUGAGGUGGGACAGGGCUGUAUGUGUUCCAGAGGUGUUUUUGGAGAAGAUCAGGAUGUCGUCGAGGUGAACAAAGACGAACCGGUUCAACAUAUCCCUAAGAGUGUCAUUGAUCAAUGCCUGAAAGACUGCCGGUGAGUUCGAUAUUCCAAAGGUCAUGACUAAAUACUCAGUGACCACUAGGGGUGUUAAAGGACAUUUUCCUCUCAUCUCCCUGAUUCUCUCCAGAAUUUAAGCGUUGCAGAGGUCCAGUUUGGUGAAGAAUUGGGCUCCUAGGGCCAACUCCAAGGCGGUGGACAUCGGGUAGGGGGUAACGAUUCUUGAUCGUAAUCCUUUUCAGCCCUCUGUAAUCGAUGCAAGGACUGAGACAGAGAGACAAGGGAUGCGAUUAGACAUGCAGCCCAAUUAUGAUAUUUUUUCCACUAAUUGGUCUUUUGAACAAUCACAUUCAAUAUUUUCGUAUCAGCUCUUUUUCAGAGCAUAUCUGAUAGGUCAAAAUACCAAUUACUCAAAAAAAAAUGACUGAUUUGGGCUUCCUGUCUCAACGAAUCCAUAGAAACCUGGACAUGUUCCAACUGAAAUGUUCCAUCCUGUCAGUACUGAUGUUGAAUGCAAUUAAAUACACUUGUUUCGUUCUCUCCCAUCCCCUGUAGGUUUGCUGAACAUGAGUGGAAAUAAAUCUUUUCCAGGUGAGUUGAACCUGCCUGUGGGUGCAGUGGGGAUAUUCCUGGGAGGUCUACUGAUGAAGAGGUAUAAGCUUGGCGUUGUGUCGAGCCCAGAUGUCUUUCGUCAUCUCCUUCAUGGCCUACCUCCUCCUCCCUCUGUAGUCUGGCACUAAGUGUGACAACGUUCAGGUGGCUGGUCUGACCCUGUCCUACAACGGAGUGAUCUUCCUUGGCCUCAUCACAUGUCUCAGUGGCUUCUCCUUAGGAGGGAUGGGGACACCACCAUGGGACAGACCCCACAAUCAUCGCUUGAGAUCGAACUUCAGACUCCCUCCAAAACCACUGAACCCCUCAACACAACGAAAGAGAUUACGGUGCACACCCUUAGAGGGAGCCGGAACAGGAUAACUCCCUCCAAACUCACAAAGACACAGAGGAGGAGGAACUAUCCAACACCCAGGGAGAGAGAACAAGUGACCUCAGUCGAACACAGCCAGAAAGAGGAGGUGGAAGAGGUGUUAGAUAGAGGAUGUGAGCAAGAAAGAGCAGAAGGCUUCUGAUCAGCCAAAUGGCAGGUAGAGGGAGAGGUCAUAGUGAUUCACACCCACAGAGAGAAAGACAACCCACACAACCUCUUGGUUGAGAUGAACCGCACAGAGUUAGAGGCAGAGGGCUUUCAGCGCUAGCCAGUCAGCCUGCCUGCUCUGAUCCUCAAGUCAAUUGUAUUUAAAUUCAUGUUCAUUAAAGAUUUUUAUU